rnacentral:rRNA from 1 species
AUUGAACGCUGGCGGCAUGCUUUACACAUGCAAGUCGAACGGUAACAGGCCUUCGGGUGCUGACGAGUGGCGCACGGGUGAGUAAUGCAUCGGAACGUGCCCAGGGGUGGGGGAUAACGCAGCGAAAGCUGUGCUAAUACCGCAUGUGAUCUGAGGAUGAAAGCGGGGGACCAGGCAGCAAUGUUUGGCCUCGCGCCUUUGGAGCGGCCGAUGUCAGAUUAGGUAGUUGGUGGGGUAAAGGCCUACCAAGCCGACGAUCUGUAGCUGGUCUGAGAGGACGACCAGCCACACUGGGACUGAGACACGGCCCAGACUCCUACGGGAGGCAGCAGUGGGGAAUUUUGGACAAUGGGCGCAAGCCUGAUCCAGCAAUGCCGCGUGCGGGAAGAAGGCCUUCGGGUUGUAAACCGCUUUUGUACGGAACGAAAAGGCUCUGGCUAAUACCUGGGGCUGAUGACGGUACCGUAAGAAUAAGCACCGGCUAACUACGUG